rnacentral:rRNA from 1 species
UCAAGCUACAAAGGGCGCAAGGAGAAUGCCUUGGCACUGGGAGCCGAUGAAAGACGUGGUAAGCUGCGAUAAGCUUCGGGGAGGAGCAAACAUCCUUUGAUCCGGAGAUUUCUGAAUGAGGAAACUCACCAGAGUUCAUACUCUGGUAUCCUGUACUGAAUUCAUAGGUACAGGAGGGGAACCGCCUGAACUGAAACAUCUAAGUAGGGCGAGGAAGAGACAUCAAACGAGAUUCCGUUAGUAGUGGCGAGCGAACGCGGAAGAGGGCAAACCGAAAGGAGAAAUCCUUCCGGGGUAUGGACCGCAUUUAGGACUUUAGCUGUUAAUCGAAUGGCAUGGGAAGGCCAACCAAAGAGUGUGAGAGUCACGUAGAUGAAAACGGCGAGAGCUGCGCGAGUUCCAGAGUACGGCCAGACACGUGAAACCUGGUCGGAAGAUGGGGGGACCACCCUCCAACCCUAAAUACUACCCAGUGACCGAUAGCGUAUAGUACUGUGAAGGAAAGGUGAAAAGGACCCCGGGAGGGGAGUGAAAUAGAACCUGAAACCUUGUGCCUACAAGCACAUAGAGCACAUCAACGUGUGAUAUGGUACUUUUUGUAGAACGGUCCGGCGAGCGAUUGUAUGUUGCGAGCUUAAGGUCUUAAGGACUGGAGGCGCAGCGAGAGCGAGUCUGAAGAGGGCGUUCAGUAACAUGCAAUGGGCCCGAAACCGGGUGACCUACCCAUGAUCAGGCUGAAGUGAAAGUAAAAUUUCAUGGAGGGCCGAACCGACCUCCGUUGAAAAGGCGGCGGAUGAAUUGUGGGUAGCGGAGAAAUUCCAAUCGAACUCGGAGAUAGCUGGUUCUCCCCGAAAUAGCUUUAGGGCUAGCCUCAUAUUAGAUACCCGGAGGUAAAGCACUGAAUGGCCUAGCGCCCGAGAGGGUAGCGAAGCCUAUCAAACUAAGAAUGCCGGAGUAUUGAUGUAUGGGAGUCAGACAGUGUGAGAUAAAUCUCAUUGUCAAAAGGGAAACAGCCCAGAUCUACAGCUAAGGUCCCAAAUUGUAUCUAAGUGGAAAACGAUGUGGAAAUACGCAGACAACCAGGAUGUUGGCUCAGAAGCAGCCACUCAUUUAAAGAGUGCGUAAUAGCUCACUGGUCGAGCGUCUCUGCGCGGAAAAUUUAACGGGGCUAAGAUACAAACCGAAGCUUAGGCUGCACGUAAGUGCGGGGUAGGGGAGCGUUGUGUAAGCGGAGAAACAGUAGCGUAAGCGGCUGUGGAGUUUACAGAAGUGAGAAUGCCGGAAUGAGUAGCGCGAAUGUGGUGAGAAUCCACAUGGCCGGAAACCUCAGGUUUUUGGAGGAAGGUUCGUCCGCUCCAAGUUAGGCGGGAGCUAAGGUCAGGCCGAAAGGCGUAGCCGAUGCACAGACGGUAGAGAUUCCGUCCCCACCGAAAGAUUUAAGCACAGGGACACUUUUUGAAGGUCGGAGCCAGGUGUUGGUUCUGGUAGAGAUCGAGGGAAAUAUAGUACCGAAGUCCGGCUGGAUGAGAGGCGAGAAAAGCUGUGUGUAUAUCUAAGGUGCCCGUACCGCAAACCGACACAGGUAGGUAGGAAGAAGAUUCUAAGGCCAACGGGAGAAGGGUUGUUAAGGAACUCGGCAAGUUGACCCCGUAACUUCGGAAUAAGGGGUGCUCACGAGAGUGAGCCGCAGAGAAUAGGCCCAGGCAACUGUUUACCAAAAACACAGGUUUGUGCUAAAUCGAAAGAUGACGUAUACGAGCUGACGCCUGCCCGGUGCUGGAAGGUUAAAAGGAGAUGUGCAAGCAUUGAAUUGAAGCCCCAGUGAACGGCGGCCGUAACUAUAACGGUCCUAAGGUAGCGAAAUUCCUUGUCAGGUAAG